AAACUUUCAACAACGGAUCUCUUGGUUCUGGCAUCGAUGAAGAACGCAGCGAAAUGCGAUACGUAGUGUGAAUUGCAGAAUUCAGUGAAUCAUCGAAUCUUUGAACGCACAUUGCGCCCUUUGGUAUUCCAAAGGGCAUGCCUGUUCGAGCGUCAUUUGUACCCUCAAGCUUUGCUUGGUGUUGGGCGUCUUUUUGUCUCUCCCCUUGUUGGGGGAGACUCGCCUUAAAACGAUUGGCAGCCGACCUACUGGUUUUCGGAGCGCAGCACAAAUUUGCGCCUUCCAAUCCACGGGGCGGCAUCCAGCAAGCCUUUGUUUUCUAUAACAAAUCCACAUUUUGACCUCGGAUCAGGUAGGGAUACCCGCUGAACUUAAGCAUAUCAAUAAGGCGGAGGAAG
rnacentral:rRNA from 1 species